rnacentral:lncRNA from 1 species
AUGGGACUUGCUAACGUGGCGCCUCAGAAAUCAGAGGAACCAAAGAAAUGUCAAGACAAAAUAGUGACCUCUAAAAUUUCAGUGUUGAAACAGAGAGAGCUCGCACGGAAAAAGAAACUAGCCAAUCUAAAACAUGCGCAAAGAGCGAAUGCAAAACAUCUGAAACCAGCAGUUGAUAGGCGGAAGCAACUGAAGACCAAUCUUGGAACAGAACGAUCUCUCAGAAAAAACAUGAAACUGAAAAAGUUAGAAGCUAUCAAGAAGAAGGCUCUCAGUACCGGAAAAGAUACUUCUGGAAAGAAAGCACCUUCAACAAAUAACAAGACAGGAAAGGAAGUGAAACAACCAGUCCCCGUCAAAUCGCAGGCAAAGGACCUGAAACCUAGCCUCGUGAAAACUUCAAUAAAGUAACCCUCUAUUUUAUGUUUUUUUUGUUUUUGACUAGCUCAAAGAUGGCUCUUAUAAUGAUUAUGGUGGAAUCCAGAUACAAUCUAAAAUUCCAGCAGGGUUCCAACUGUCUGGAAAAUCUUGCAUUUUCAGGGGAAAUAAGCAAAUUGAAAACAUGGAAAAUUCAGGAAACUCUUUACAGACUUUGAGUAGAAAAAAGAAAUCUCUAUUGUCCAAUCUUUCAAUUUUUGUAUGUUUGAAUUUCUCGCUUCCGAGUGUGAAAUUCAAAAUUCAGAAGUGUUCGGAAAUACAUGGUACUGCUUGGGUUGUAUCCACAGAUGGACAGGCACAAAGGAAUUUUUGCAUGGUGUCCACUAUAUAUAGUGUCACUUGUCAGCAUCUAAUUUUGGAUCAAGUAUAUGAGGUUUUUUCAUCGAAAAAAGUAAAUUUUUCCAGAAUCCCUGUCCAGUCUUGGUUGCCUUUUUAUUCUAUAAAUAACAAUUUUCUUGGUUGCUGUCAUAACUCUGCAUCUGCAUUGAGACUGAGACUAAAACGAUUGUUCCUGCUAAAGUAAUAUUGUAACUAAGACCAGGAACUUAGGUUGAGCCUGCAAUUCACAGUGAGCAUGGUAAGAGCUACAAUUCUUUUUUCUCCAAGGUAGAAACUACUUAUUCAGAGUUAUUGGGAUAGUGAAUGCAGGAUUCUCACAGCCUCGAAAAGUCCUUGAGAAUAAAGUAAGAAAAACCAAGUACUGAUAGUACUUGAUUCUUAAGAAAAUUGCGAGAAUAUGCCUGUGUCCUCAAAUCUCCACAUUUUUUACCCUUGAGAAUGUCAAUGCUUUCAUCAAAACGUAUUUGCAUGCUUUUUUUUUUAAUCAUACCAUACAGGAAAAUUUCCACACAUGCGCAAUGCUCCUUUUUUCCCCUAUCUAAUUAAGUAAUUUUCUUGACUUCAGUUUUGCACUGGUUUUCAGCUUAUCCUUGCAGCUUUAUUGUAAAUUUGUAACCAAAUUGGGGGGUAUAAAUUGGGGACAGCCAAUCAGAAAUGGUUGGCUCCUACUAGAGAAUCCACUAAAGCGACCAGAAAAAUCUCUUCCUAAUGGAUGUUGCUGUCAACCAUUCCUCCUUGAUUGGCUGUCACCAUCUGCGUCAUGUCCAUCAACGGAGCUCAGGUCAAUUUACAAAAAUAUUAAUAGACGAUUUUAAGUCCACCAACCACCAGUCCACCAGUCUGCACCAACUUGUUCAUCAACGUUGCACCUUGGUAUUGCAAGAAGGCAAGCUGUCAAUCAGAAUACCAGAAAAUCCAAGCGACUGAAAUUCUUAACCAAUGAAAUUCAUCUCUAGCUGAUAAAAUUCCCACAUUGUUCUUAAGUGUUUAAUUAUAAAUUUUACCAAUUCAUUUUAUUACUGUCCUUUCAGAUCCAAAGCAAAAAGAACUCCUUUAGGCGUAAGGCGAAAUCUUCGUAGCGGAGGUAGCAGUCUUGGCGGCUCUCAGGAGUUGAUAUUGAAAUCUAAAAGAUUGCAAGUCAUACGAAAUCGCAAAGCAAAGCUUGGUGCUGGAAAGCAAACGACCCCUCCAAAAGGUACCUACUUUGCUCAUUACAUCUCUCUUUUUAGAACUUCUAAACUGUGUAUACAUCAUGGGAGUUUGAGCCUCAUAACAAUGGAUUAGUUGCUCACAAGAAAUGCAGGCAACUGAGUAUUAUUUUUUCAAGUAAAAUUGCAUUAAAAUUACUUUAAACACAUAAAAAUUGUCUUAAGUCCACUCUCCCAACAAACAAUUUGCGAAGUCUGUGUAGCACUUUUUAAAAUUUCCUGUGCCCAUAGAUUUAAAUAAAUGAUGUCAUUUGUAUUUUUGCCAUUUAUUGCAUAUACCUGCGUAUGGUAUGGACCCUAAAUUUUGAGGUCCCCCUCCCUAAAAAAAUGCUCUGAACAGGAUUGGUUUGAACUUUGUUGUGGGCUGCAUCUUGGGGCAAUACCUGCGGAUUGUAAGCACCCUUGAUUUGAGAGCUGAAAUUUUGAAAAAAAGGUGUGUAAAAUAUGCAGGUAGAUACAGUAACCAAUGUCAAUCAUGAACACUUAUAUCUUGUUUAGGAGUUCAUUUCCAAACUUCCUGAUGUAUGAUUGUUUUCCUCUUUAAAUUUUGUUGAUAAAACAUGUUGCAUAGUGCUCCAAUUCAUACCUACCGGACAUAAGUACAAUCCAAUCACUAUUA